UAAAAUGUUGUGAAGGUCUUGGAAGAAAGG
rnacentral:piRNA from 1 species